rnacentral:rRNA from 1 species
GGGGAAUAUUGGACAAUGGGGGCAACCCUGAUCCAGCAAUGCCGCGUGAGUGAUGAAGGCCUUCGGGUUGUAAAGCUCUUUUGCCAGGGACGAUGAUGACGGUACCUGGAGAAUAAGCCCCGGCUAACUUCGGGCCAGCAGCCGCGGUAAUACGAAGGGGGCAAGCGUUGUUCGGAAUUACUGGGCGUAAAGGGCGCGUAGGCGGCCGAUCAAGUCAGGCGUGAAAUUCCCGGGCUCAACCUGGGGGCUGCGCUUGAUACUGAUUGGCUUGAAUGCGGGAGAGGAUAGUGGAAUUCCCAGUGUAGAGGUGAAAUUCGUAGAUAUUCGGAAGAACACCAGUGGCGAAGGCGACUAACUGGACACGUAUUGACGCUGAGGUACGAAAGCGUGGGGAGCAAAC